rnacentral:rRNA from 1 species
UUAAAGUCACAACGGUAAAAGAUGAGCAUGCGUCCCAUUAGCUAGUUGGUAAGGUAACGGCUUACCAAGGCUACGAUGGGUAGGGGUCCUGAGAGGGAGAUCCCCCACACUGGUACUGAGACACGGACCAGACUCCUACGGGAGGCAGCAGUGAGGAAUAUUGGACAAUGGGCGCAAGCCUGAUCCAGCCAUGCCGCGUGCAGGAUGACGGUCCUAUGGAUUGUAAACUGCUUUUAUACGAGAAGAAACAUCCCGACGUGUCGGGACUUGACGGUAUCGUAAGAAUAAGGAUCGGCUAACUCCGUGCCAGCAGCCGCGGUAAUACGGAGGAUCCAAGCGUUAUCCGGAAUCAUUGGGUUUAAAGGGUCCGUAGGCGGUUUAAUAAGUCAGUGGUGAAAGCCCAUCGCUCAACGGUGGAACGGCCAUUGAUACUGUUAGACUUGAAUUAUUAGGAAGUAACUAGAAUAUGUAGUGUAGCGGUGAAAUGCUUAGAGAUUACAUGGAAUACCAAUUGCGAAGGCAGGUUACUACUAAUUGAUUGACGCUGAUGGACGAAAGCGUGGGUAGCGAACAGGAUUAGAUACCCUGGUAGUCCACGCCGUAAACGAUGGAUACUAGCUGUUGGGAGCAAUCUCAGUGGCUAAGCGAAAGUGAUAAGU